GGGUAAUAUAAGACUAUUGCUUCCUAUCGCGUCAGUCACGUCCUUGCUAAACACAAGAAGCCAUUCGGUGACGGCGAUAUUGUGAAGGAAGCCUUUCUCCAGGCAGCGGAUAGCCUGUUUGACGACUUUAAAAAUAAAACUGAGAUCGUGAAGGCUAUUAAAGAAGUGCAACUCUCCCGUAAAAUACUACUACAAGUCGACGUGAGGGAAUGGAUGUGGAUGUGGAGGAGCAACUGAAGGAUAUUGACGCUUGCGAGUGUUUUUCCCUCCAAUUUGACGAGUCGACUGAUGUGGUGGAUGUGACUCAAUUGUGUUUUCCUCGGGAUAGUUUUUGAAGAUAUGACUGCCAAGGAAGAGCUACUCACCAUUUUGCCAUUAAAAGGACAUACCAGAGAAAGCAGAACCCAGCCUUUAGGGUCAUGGGGGGAUGGAGUCUAUCCCAGUUGACUGAGGGUGAAGGGUGAACAAUCACACUCACAUUCACACCUACGGACAAUUUAGAAUCACCAAUUAACCUCACCAUGUUUCUGGACUGUGGGAGGAAGCUGGAGAACCUGGAGAAAAGCCACACAUGACCAGGAGAACAUGGAGACUCCAUGCAGGAAGAUCCCAGGAAGGUCAGGACAUGAACCGGGGAUCUUCUAGCUGCAAGGAAAGCAGGGAGAAGAAUGGGGAAGACCUGCAGCAAAGGGCCAUGGGCGGGAAUCAAACCUAGACAACUGCAUGGAAACUAAAGCCCCAGUUUAUGGGUCACCCAGGCGCCCAAAUCCCACCUGAUUUAAACUCAUCUACCAUCCC
ensembl:lncRNA